rnacentral:rRNA from 1 species
UCGAAUCACGUAGCGAUACCCGCGGAAAAAAAGCAUAUAAUAAGCGGAAGAAAC